GUCCCUGAGAAAUGGAGUGCAAAUUACUGCCCGCAGAGAAGGAGGGGUUGGUGGCCUAGGGCUUCUGGAAGAGAAGGUGCGAGUUCUUUUAGGAACAAAGAAACAAAAGAAUGAGGCUCUAAGGGAUGGUGGAACUAGUGGAGAUUUUGGGGGUACUAAGCACUCGCUCGAGCCACGCCGUCAGACGCCAGUUUAAAGAAGAGCCAAAGGUUAGACACUGGAGAGCUCCUUACUCCGAGGGGGCGGCUCCGCUCCUGCCGAGCUUGGUUGGCGGGGAGGCUAAGCCUCGCGUCUCGGGCGUGCCC
ensembl:lncRNA